GAUGAACGCUGGCGGUAUGCUUAACACAUGCAAGUCGAACGGACUCUUCGGAGUUAGUGGCGGACGGGUGAGUAACGCGUGAGAAUCUGGCUUUGGGUUCGGGACAACCACUGGAAACGGUGGCUAAUACCGGAUGUGCCGAGAGGGAAAAGAGAAAUUGCCUGAAGAUGAGCUCGCGUCUGAUUAGCUAGUUGGUGAGGUAAAGGCUCACCAAGGCAGCGAUCAGUAGCUGGUCUGAGAGGAUGACCAGCCACACUGGGACUGAGACACGGCCCAGACUACUACGGGAGGCAGCGGGGGGGAAUGUUCCGCAAUGGGCGAAAGCCUGACGGAGCAAUACCGCGUGAAGGAAGAAGGCUCUUGGGUUGUAAACCUCUGUUCUUAGGGAAGAACAAAAUGACGGUACCGAAGGAAUCAGCAUCGGCUAACUCCGU
rnacentral:rRNA from 1 species